CACACAGUUGCAAAUAAACAUGAAGAGCACAGGAAAGAGCAGCUCAAAUCCCAAGGCAACCGGAAAAUCCGGUCACGAAGCCCGAAAAGAUCGCCAGUCCGGCACCGGAGUCACCGGAUCACCGAAGAAAGGCGGUCACGGCGGCAAGUUCACCUGGUCCGGCGAUAACGCAAACCUCGGGAACGAUGAGUUCAUCGUCGCCGUUGAUCGUAAUGACCCUAACUUUGAAGAUCCCGAUGUUGCUGUAGCGGAGAAUUAAUAGAUUAUUAUUCGAUAGAUGUAUGUAUGUAUAUGUUUGUUUUUCUGGUAUUAAGUUGUAUCGAUAUAUGGAUUUAUCUCUGUAUGAUGAAGUAUCGAUCAUAAUAAAAUUGUCGCGAUUUAAUUUUUCUCGUAACAUCGAUCCGGUCCGGAGUCCGAAAAUAUGUUUAUAAUAAUAUAAUGAAAGAUUGUGAUAAUAUGCAUAUCAGAAUACAAUGCAACAACGAAGUGUUGUGUGUGAAAUUAGAAUGAUACAAGAGCAUAUGUAUGUUUUCAACUGCAGGACACUAAACAAGAGGCGAAACUCGAUCAAAUCAAAAUUUAAAACUUGCUGAUUAUGUAACAAAGUGUUAUUAGAGACCGGAAGCACGGUGGAUGCUGCUUCGUUGAGUGGAUUGAGUUUACAUUUACAGGUACACUUCACUUUCCUUGUUCUGUUGCUAUGUGUUAGUUACAUUUUUAGAGAAUGUAGUAAUUGUUUGGCGAAUAAUUGUAAAUUUUUAAAGACUGUGUAAUUGUUUAGGGAUUAAUUGUUUUGUUGUUGAAGGCGGCUCUACGGAUCAGAAUAUCUGGACAUAUAUAAUCCUGAAUUGAAGCAUUGUUGCAAUUUGUUGAUUUUGUAAUUUGGAUCUGUGGAAAAAGGAUUCUGUUGAACUUCGUUUCUUCGUGUAUUUUCUUUCUGUUUCAUCGUUGGAAGGUCUCGGUUAGGUGAGAAGUGCUAGAGACACAAUGCAUUUGUUAGGGGAAUUUCGGAAAAUAAAGUUGUUACAAGUGUGUUGAGUUCUUAAUUUGGAUAAGUACUGGAAAAAAGAGUUUGUCGAAAUUCUUUGUAUUAUUUUUGUUCGUUGCAAAUGCUGAUGGUAAGAUAUAAUGUAGGAAUUUUCUGAGAAAAAAAAUAGAAUAAGGUAUUAAGAUAUUUCGAAAUGGUCGGCCGUUACUUGACUUCAUUAUAGGAAAUUCACUUAAAUUUAAGCAAAUCAAGGCAUUUUGCAUAUGGUGCUUAGGACGGAAGCAACUGUAUAAGUCCUGAUCCAAAGUUGUUCGUCUUAGAUUGAAUCAUUGUUAAGUGCAGCAUAAUAGUAACAGUUUUGGCUUGCUGAACUGAGUGGGUGCAAGGAGCAUUGGUAAUAUAUCAUAGUGCUUGUUUGGCAACUUUUGGUAGUAGUAACUCCCAAAGCUUCGAUAUAGAGGACCUUUAUUGCUAUAUGGUUAGGUGGUGGUUCACCUUGAAAUUGUAUCUGGUAUGGCAAAGAAAUUGCUAUGGGAUUAAGUAUACAAUAUUAGUUAACCGGGCUCACUUAUCACUGAUCAGGAUUCCCCUUGGUAUUAUUCUGUCUAUCAUUUAUUUUAUAUAUUGCUGUAUAUGAAUAACAUUCAUUUGUUAAUUCUAAGACUUCAUAAUAUAUUGUAUUAUGUAUAGGAUACUUCAAGUGUACUUCCUCUCCUUUAUAUUAUCUUUACUAGCUUAUGACCCGUGCCAAGCACGGGUUUAAAUUAUUUUCUUAAAUUUAUUAUAUAUUAUAAUUAUAGGGUCGCGCUCAUGAGAAAACCUAUCCUUAAAAUAGAACCUUAGUGAUAGAAUCACUAAGUUUCUGCUGCAGAAUCCUAAAUUUUAAAUAGAUUUUCAGGAUCUAAAUCUAAAUACAUGUUUUUUGUAUCGUUGUAUGUGUUCAAAAGCAAUUUAAAAAUACAAUACAUAAAUACGACACUUUUUGCAUGUGCAGUCCGUAGAACCCUAAUUAAUACUAGAAAUAACGCUAAGGUUUCUUAGGCUAAGAUUUCUAAGAGGACCAUGACCCUAUAAUUAUAAUUAUAAUCUCUUUUAUUUGAUUAUACACUAUCUUUGUUUAGAUACAAUACUUUCUAUGUAUUGACUUUUGAUCCUUUUUUACUUUUUUUUCUACAAAAAUUAGGGUUUUAUAUCAAACCAGCUACCUAUGGAACGAAAUAUCUCAAGUAGACCACUUAUUCUAACGAGGUCUCAUUCAAAACCUUAAAAUUAAAUUUUAUAUCAUGUCGCUAACUCCAAUUUAAAAAAAAGAUGAAAAAUGUUAAAAUAUUCACUCUGUUUUAACGAGGAUUAUCUGUAGAAACAUAGUGAGAGCGAGGAUACUGAGAAUAAUGGAUCUCAUCACUCUAUUUUUACAUUUUUCGUCUAUUUUUUUCAUAAAUUAAAUUGUUUGAGUUUCAAAAAUUAAAACAAAUAGUUAUGUUGGUGAUAUAAUUUUGUUGAUGGGAUAGUCGUUACAUUACAGAAUCCUGAAAAAUAUGGAAGUCUUUUCAGAGUAGUAUAAUAAUAGUAAUUAUUACAAAUAAACAAAAAUUACAUGAUAAUAACCAAAUUUUGGUACUUUGGUAUUUACUAUUUCUGAUGUUCCACUGAAAGGGGGUUUUGCUAAUUAAUGAAGAGUAUAGAUUACACAAAAUUAACCUUCUAAUUUUUGGAAACCUGAAUAAUUGGAACAAAUGCUGUUUAGUAAGUGGAUUUGCUCGACACAAUUGUACACUUACAUCAUCUUUUGUCGUUUCAUUUAAACUGUAUCAGUUAAAAUGUUGACAAUGUCCACCAAGGUGCACACAACACUCUGAGAGUAGAACUUGAGAUCACAGGAUACACUUUUUCAUCCUACUUGAUCACAGUUCACAAAAGAAAAAUAUAAUUGAACCAUCCACCUAUAAAUUUAGUUUUGCUGUUUGUUUUCCGAAUAUUUUUAUGCAUUUAUGUUAGCACACCAUUGAGGACUAGUGACACAUGUAUUAUAGCUUUGGAGACUCUCCAAAUUUCAUGUUGUACAGCACUCCAUGUAUUAUUGGCCAAAUGUAUACUUGCGCUUGGCCCUCUAUCUGGUGUCACUGAUCCAGGGUAGGAUACUGAUCCAUGAGCAAUAUGCUCUGAUGGUGCAUAAAUCUGAGAUACGGAGCAUGAGCAGUAUGCUCUGAUGGUGCAUAUAUAUGGUUUUAAUUUUAGACUGGAGGUAUUCAAAGUUAGAAUAGCUGUUNAGGGAAAGACGCAUACCAAGUGCUUAUACCAUGGUCGUCCAAGCAGUCCAUCUCUGUCUAUAAAUACUCGUUCUGCCAUCAUCAGUCUGUAAUUAACUGUCUCACCUGCCAAGCUUUACUUCUUCACAUUGAUGCCCAUCCUUCGGAUCCUUGUAUUGCCUGAGAGUCUAGCCUCUUUUAUAUCUAGACAUUGAUAAUUGAGCUUUAGUUUCUUACUUCUUAGUGAUGACUGAUGAGCUAUACCAUUCUUCAUAAUUAAUAUAUGUGGCUGCUAUUUUCAAAUCUUCAAUAGACUUGAACAAGGGAGUGAGUUUGUCCUUUUCCAAAACCUCACUCAUAAUGUUGUCAUCAUAUUGAGUGGUAGACUAGGUAACCUGCAAUUGGCAGCCAAUCCUAUAGGUCCCAAAUAGCAUAACUCCUUUACAAUUAAUACCAAGCAGUCGAAGUGGUAAUAUAUCUUUUUUAUAAAUGAUUAUACAACCAUGUUAUCUGCAGUAUGUUCUUUUUCCUGGUGGCAAAAGGCUCUGCAAUUUUAGCACACAUUAUUCAUGUCGAGCUCAAGAUUAGUUCUAUAUUGUAGGCAUGGGUCAGUUGUGUUAUAUCUCUUUCUUAAGAUUGUAGCUUAGCGGCAUAAUCAUGUUGUACAAGCAGCACUAUCAGAGUUCCUAGGCAAUCAUAUCUAAUGGUCUAAAUGAAUGCAAAACAAGAAGUUAUAAAGUUAAUAAUGUGCUAUUUUGUUAUAUUAGCAUAUGUUAUUCCUUCAAAAAAAAAAAGUAUAUGUUAUAAAAUCUCUAUGUUAUUUUGUAAUUAAAUAUAAACAUCACCUGAAUAAGAGAUGAAUCUGAGGUUAAGUACCAUUUUUUUUUUGCUUUUUACUAAGAUUUUACUGUGUUCCACGUUCUAGACCUUUCUUUAAAUCAUUUUCACUUUCUAUUAUGGCAUUUUCCAGCAGACCUUGCAUGGACUAAAUAAACCGAGUUAUAUAUAUCAUAUAUGCAUCUCCUGGCCAAAUUUCUAAUAUAGGUCUCCCUGGUUCUUGCAUAUGUUGUUGUGUGACCUUUGUAAGCUAAAUUACAUUCUAUAAUAAAUUCCUGUUCUAAUUCUUAGUUUCUUUUAUCUGUUUCAUUUUGCAGUAAAACACUGUUAUAGUAUAAUUUAUCUUCUGCUAUAUUAAGGCUGGAAAACGUUAGAUGCUUUGUUUCUUGUUCCAAUUAUUUUCCUGUCACAGUUCCUGAUGUCAAGUCUACUAGAUAUGAGGUAGAUCUGAUUUUCCACAUUUUUCUAUAUAACAUAAUCCUAAUCUUUGCUAAGCUAUCAAGUGAAAACCAAUGUUUUAUAAACAUAUUUAAGUCACAUAUGUGUAGUUAUAAACUUAUAAUCAUGAAUACCUGAUACAUAUAAGUGCAUAAAAGAUGAUAUUAUAUUACCUUUACCAAAUGAUGUAUCAGCUGCUGGAACACCUACAUUCUGUAAAAAUGCUGCAUAGUAUGAACCUGCACCUCCAACCUUCCUAUCUUUAAAUGUACAAUAAUUUAUUCCAACUGAUAAAUUGAGCCUAAAAUAUCAAUCAUCUUAUAGCACGUCUGGAUCUGGUGAAACAGCUCAUUUUCUAUACUUAUUACGAAUAUGGGGUUCACCCUUCCCAUCUGAAAUGUUGUUAUAUGCUUACCUUAAGAUUGACGGCAGCUCUGGUCCAUGAGUCAAAGAUUGUAUGUGAUGGGUUAUCUGGAUCUUGAACCUUAAAGAGUAAUUUGACAUCUUAGGCAUGAUUUGCGUGUGAUAUUUCUUUAAAAAUCUGACAUCCAUCUCCUUUAGAUGCACCCUGGCAAAUUCAUAUUCUAAAAUCAAACCUGGCACAGGCAUUAGUUUAGUUUAUUCUGUUGUUUGUCAUAGUUUAUAUUACAAUCACUUGACAUGUUAGGGAUCAUUUUGUUAAUGGCAAUGGGAGUGCGGUAGACAGGAAUAGGAAAAUUUGGAAUCCCAUGGGGUACAUCAAUAUCUCCUCCCUUGUCUACCUCAUGGUCAGAUUUUCUUCACGUCUUUUUACUUGGCCAGCCUUGCGGGGUUGGAUCUUGGAUCACCUAAAUUUUUAUACAGGGAACCCGCCUGGACUCCACUUGGUGGUAUCCACUUAUCACCAGGAAACCCUUUUGCAUCACCUCCACCACCAUAGUCUUUUCUAUCUGUGACAACACGGCCCCCAUAGCACCUGGUUCGUAUGCAUCUGUCACAAUGUACCCUCUAUAUAAUCGUCCUAUCCUAGUUAAUAUUACAGUACCUAGACUAUUCGAACCUUGGGCGAGUUUUCUUCUAGUGUAGUGAAAUUCUUGUGAAGUCCUUAUUAAAGUUAUCCUCGGCUCCUUUGUAAUCCUGGUUCUGAUAUAUAUUUUAAUCCUCUAGUACAUGUUCCACCAGUUUUUAUGUCGAUGGUCGAAUGAACAGUGUCUCUAUAGAAGUUAUUCAUCUUACUUAAUACCUUGUCAAGUUUGGAAACAAUAACUGGUUUGGCUUGCUGGUGCAAGUUGGUGUGAGAAUAAGCUUAUGUGAAGAAAUCGCGGUUUAUUGGUUCUUGGUUGGCAUUUACAUAUGUAGAUUGAACUUUAGUGCUCUGUAGUUAGGUGGUGGCUCACCGCUCACCUUAAGAGUUUAAACUUUGCCUAGUUGUAUUGGCUCAAGGUAGUAAUUCAUUUGUUUGAAACUAUAUGGAAGUUAACAAUAACAUAAAAUAGCACAUAGAGCGAUACCUGCUGACUGCUAGGUCUAUGUAUGUAUUAUCAUGUCCAGUUCUAUAGUUUUUGAAAACCUUGAAAGAAUAUGUCCCUGCAAAUGUUUAAUAUUCCAUGUUUUUUUCAUUAAUGUAAGUUGUUUUCCUAUAGUAAUGGUAGUGGCCUGUCAAAUAGUUGUCCACAAUCUUCUAUUGCCAUUAUUUCAAAUUUGGAUUUGUUAUUAUUUUGACACUGUUCACCCAAUUGCACACAACUCUCAGAAUUUGGCUUUGAUAAUAUAGGACAUUAAUUUUUCAGCUUAUGUGCCCGCAAAGAAAGUAUUUAUAAAAGCUUUCACCUUGAAAUAAUGAGUCCCGGAUUGUUUAUUUUGCAUAUAUUUUAUGCACUCAUGUAAGCACACCAUUUAGGACUAAUGAUACAUGUAUAACAGCUCUAGAGACUCUCCAGACUUCAUGUUGGACAGAACUCCAAGAUUCUAUUGUGUUCUCUUGCUUGGCUUUUUCUAUGGCAUCAGUGAUGCCAGGGAAGGAUACUGAUCCAUAAUCAUCAUGCUCUGAAGGCGCAUAAAUCUGAGACAAAAGACAUUUGCUUUUUAGUAUUUAGAUGAAUAUAUGAUUUAAAACUGAGACUAUUUGAAGAUUGAGUUGUGAGUAUUGAGUAUCUGUUAUGAACCCAAAUUCAACAACAAACAUUUGUUAGGUUUUGUUACAGGAAAGAGACACAUACCAAGUGUUUAUACCAUUGUCGUCCAAGCAGUCCGUCUCUGUCCAUAAAUGCUCGUUCUGCCAUCAUCAGUCUGUCAUUUAACUCUCUGACUUGCCUUGGUUUAGUUCCCCACAUUGAUGCCCAUCCUUUGGAUCUUUCAAGUGCCUGAAAAUCAAGCCUUGUUUAUUUUCAUAAACGGCAAAGUAAGAUCCUAUUUCUUAGUGAUAUAAGCCGCACCUUUAUUUCAUUAUCUAUUUUGGUGGCUGCAAUUUUUAAAUCUUCAAUAGACUUGAACAAGGGAGUGACGUCUAUGUUCUUAUCAAUAAGCUCAUUUGUAAGUUCGUCUGCAUUUUUCUGUAUUAGAUUCAGAAAUGAAUGACAAUGUGUGGCAGAUACGUUAAGUGGUGUAUGUCAUGUACUUGAAUAUGCGGCUAAUAUAGGAUGUAGGUAUACCUGGAGCUCAAAUGCAUAGGACAAAUAAUUAAAAGGUAAAAAUUCCUCAUCUGCAAGUGAAAGAGCUACUAAGCCCCAAAUGCUUGCCACUGUGCCAAAAUAACGUUUUAAGCACAAAUGUUAAUUUACAAGUAUGCUUAUGCGUGUAUAGGACUAGAGUUCUAAUGGUGUAAUUGUGCAGAUAUGCUUGAUAUGGAAGACACAAAAACCUGCUACAUGUCUGCGAAACAUCGGGUCACCAAAAUCUCUCAUCCAAAUGAAGUCAUCAUACAUUGAGUGGUAGACUGGGUAACCUGCACUGCAACUGAUAUAGUAAGUCAUAAAUUUAGCAACAAUAAUGAUUCCUUUACUUGCAACAGUAAGUGGUUAUAGAAAUGCCAACUGAAUCUUAUUUUAUGCAGAAUGGUGUUUUCCUUGAUAAAGUUCUGCAAUAUUAGCACACAAGUUUUGCACAACUAACUCUAGAAGGGGGAUGCUAGAGGCAGGUCAGUUGUCUGUGGCAAGACAUUUUAGAGUUCCGACGUUAUGUUGCUAACCAUUUCAUCAGUUCAUUUUAGCUUCAAACUCCCAUUUAUUUACAACUUUAACAAUGCUUGUGAAUCGUGACUGGGGUUGGGUAAAUUAAUUCCUAUCUUAAAUAUCUACCUAUAAUUUUUAUUUAGGCCUCAUUUUGCGGUAGAAGCCAGGAAGUUCCAAUUUUUUUUUGUUAGAGCUAUAAACUUGAUCCUUUGUUCCUUGUUGCUAAUUCUUACUGUCAUAGAUUCUGAUGUUAAGUCUAUUAGAUAUGAGGUGGAUCUACCUUCACAUUUCUAUUGCAUCCUAAUAUAUGACCAUUAACUAUCAAGUAAAAAUCAUAAAAAUCUUCAAGUCACAUAUAUGAUGUAUGCAGUUAUUAACAUUACAGAUUAGGGUAUGAUCUGUAACCUUAGCAGAUAAAAGUUCAUAGAAUGAAGUGUUGCUACCUUCACCAAAAGACAUAUCAGCUGCUGGAAUACCUACAUGCUGUAAAAACGGUGCAUAGUCUGAACCUGCACCUCCUAACCUUCCGAUCUUUGUAAAAACAUUAGUUUAGUUGAACUUAGAUUCGAGUUCAAGAUAUUAAUUAAGACGAGGCCUUAUUCUGGAUCUAGAGGAACAAACUAUUAUCUUCUGAUCACAUAUUUGGGCUUCUUCCUUUCCUUUAAAAAUGUCAAAUACUUACCUUUGGAUGAUCACUAGUGCCAACCCACGAGUCAAAGAUAGAUUGUGAUGAGUUUUCUGGAUCUCGAACCUCAAAAAGACAUUUUGAAAUUUUAGUUAUAGUUUGUGAGUAAAAAAUUGGAAACACUGACAAUUUUUAUGUUUCUAAAAUCAACUCUAGCACAGGCAUAUAGUUUAUUCAGCCGCCAAGCACUGCUUUGAUUGCAAUUACUUAAAAGUGGUGCUGUAGGCAUAUAGCAUUUAUAAGACUUUUCAGUAUAAUAUCAAUAAUAUUUGUAAUUUUUUGUAUCGGUAAGCUUUAAAAUGUUGCCAUUGCUUGCAACUGCAAUUUUUAUUGGCAAAUUUUUUGUUCUGGUUACAAACUUAUUUAAUACCUGUUUAGUAGCUUGCAUCAAUAAUUGAUCCAGCUGUGGAGUUGCUGCAGCUUGAAAUCCUGCUCCACUAACUGCAACAUCAACAUUCAGGUAGGCUACAACCCUUGAGGUUAGCAUUUCCCUGUUCUCUUCAACCCAUUCUGUUGAACCUAUCUGUACAUUGCUAAUAAUUUGAAUUUAGUAAAAAUUUUCAUGUGCUGUCUACUGUCUUUGUGCAUGUGUAGUGUGUGUUCCUUGAAAUUGAGAGGUAGAGAAAGAGACCAGGCCAUACUCCUCUGCAUCCCAAUUACAAAAGAUGAUUGUCCGUCUUGGUUUCCACCCCUUUUUCUGCAACUUGCUUAGCCUAUCGGCAACCUAAGUAGCACAUAUAAUCAAGUGAAUGUAAGGGUUAGUACUUUCACUUGGAGACCUUGGUUUGACUUGUACUAUUUUAAAGAGGAUGCAUGAAUGCAAGGCGACCUCAAGCAAAGCUGCUGUGCCACUGUUGGGAUCAGCAGCUCCAAAAGUCCAUGCAUCUCUAUGAUUACCCAGUAUUACAAACCUGCAAAUGGUUUCCACCUAUAGUAGUUAAAUUUCUACAAAACAAGUUUCAGUGUUUGAUUGAAGUCUGUACAACUCAAACAAAUAAAAUUAAUCUACUGUCAGGGAAACCAAUACCGAUCAGGUUCUUCCUCCCCUUCAAUUAUACCUAUAACAUUUUCUAUUGUAUUAAUGCCUUGUUUUCCCUGCAAAAUAAAAGAACAAUUACAGUGCAACAGUUCACUCUCGGCUAUUAUAUCCCCUGUCAAUUUCAUAGCCACAAUACAGUUAGAAUUAUGGUCCGUCAGUCACUUACAGUGUAACUGAGAUUUAAGAUGCCCGGCCCUGGUCCAAUGUUGUAAACUGGACCAUCUUUGCAUCCCUGCCAGUCAUUGUCUGCCAUUUCUCCACCAAUGGACUUUAUAAUUGCCUCACCGUCUGCUGCUGAUACAGGCAGUGAAGGUAUCAAUGGAAUGUCUCCUCCCUUGUCCACCUCAUCAUCAGAGAUUCUCUCACACCCUCCCGUGCUCGGCCACCCUGUUGUGGUUGGAUCUCCACAUCCAUUAUACAGUGUUCCUACUUGGACUCCACUUGGUGGCAUCCACUUAUCAUGAGGAAACCCUUUUCCAUCACCUCCACCCCCAUAGUCCUUUUUAUCCGUGAAUAACACAGCACCUAUAGCACCAGCUUGGUAUGCAUUUGCCACAAUGUCCCCUCUAUAUAUUUGUCCCAUCCUAGCCAAUACAACAGUGCCCGACACAUUCACCCCUCUUGUUUUCAAAAUCAUAAAAUCUUCCACACGUCCAUAAUUAACAUAGACAACUGGUCCGACCACAGUACCUGAUCUAGCAUAUGCAUAGAACGUAGGUAGGACUUCAUCUGCCACGUCUAUGUAGGGGUCACCCUCGUAUGUCUCUUGUUGAAGUUCAAAUUUAGUAGUUGUGCCCGAAGGUGGAUGAGUCAGUGCUAGUGACCUCGAGACAGGAUAAGUCAAUGAUACUCCAUAUGAUCUAAUAUGUGAUCGGAUAUCAUAGGAAGAUAGAGUAGACAGAACAUAGCGUGCGACCUCAGCAUUAGCUUCAGUGCCUGCAACAUGGGGUCUGCGAGUUGGUGAAUAGAGGUGUUGCGAGACUGAAACAUUGUCUGAAAAGGUACUUGAAAUAUAUAGUAAAGUGAUUGGAUUUUUCUACCUUUGAUUCUCUAUCAUGGUUGGCAUUUUUGGACUGCAUAGCAUCAGAAGUAGAUAUACUCAAAUUAUUGAGGAAGAAAUGUGUAAUCAAUGUGUGAUAUCAUUCUGAUUAUACAAUCUAGAUUAUCUCUUAAUUAAGGUAAUUAGCAUGCGCAUUAUGAGCAUUAUAAGGCAGAGAUAUUUGUAGAAUAGUUAAAGCUGAUAAAAGCCACAUUCUUGAAUAUUUUUUCUGGCAUGAAGAAGCUAAAUGCCAAAAGGAGUGGGGGCAAUGAAAUUAAGUUUUGUUUGUUGAGAGUUGCUUUUCAAAGUCACAUUUCACAAGGGGUUUAAGUCAUACUAAUAAUAGGACCAGUAUAUGUCACUUGUCCAUUUCCUGGUGUAAAGUUAAAAGCUAAUUUCAUAUAUCUGAGUUUCAGUUUGUUUAACAGAAAUCUAUCCAUGUUGGUUUCACAUUAGGGUGUUGUUCUUGGCCAUUGAUGCCAAGCUGUGUAUCUGUAUUAGUACCUAUAGAGGAUUCCAUUAAUAAAUUUCCAGGAGCAAUAAAACAUGCACCAGUGGAUUAAUUAGAUGGGAGAUGGUGUCUGGCAAUCGUAUUCUGACAACAAACUUUAUGCGCUUUUUUAUAGCGGAAUUAUGAAAAUCUGGAAUGUGUGUUUAAAGCGCUGAUAGACAACAUGGUGUCCUGUUCACAUAAAAAAUCAUGGUGUCUUUCGGUAAUUGUUAGGAACCCGGUUCAUGAAGAGUUUUUUAAGUGAAAACCUGAAAUCUUGUGGCCUUUAGGAGUACCUGCAUCUCUCCUGCGUUAGAGUGUUUCUACGGAAUUAAUAUAUUUACUACUGUAUAAAUUUUGUUUGAGCUCUAUAAAAGAACAAUUUGACGAUCCACAACUAAAGAUCAACUUUAACUUGAGUUGGUUUGUUGAGCUCGAGGNAAGGUGGAUGAGUCAGUGCUAGUGACCUCGAGACAGGAUAAGUCAAUGAUACUCCAUAUGAUCUAAUAUGUGAUCGGAUAUCAUAGGAAGAUAGAGUAGACAGAACAUAGCGUGCGACCUCAGCAUUAGCUUCAGUGCCUGCAACAUGGGGUCUGCGAGUUGGUGAAUAGAGGUGUUGCGAGACUGAAACAUUGUCUGAAAAGGUACUUGAAAUAUAUAGUAAAGUGAUUGGAUUUUUCUACCUUUGAUUCUCUAUCAUGGUUGGCAUUUUUGGACUGCAUAGCAUCAGAAGUAGAUAUACUCAAAUUAUUGAGGAAGAAAUGUGUAAUCAAUGUGUGAUAUCAUUCUGAUUAUACAAUCUAGAUUAUCUCUUAAUUAAGGUAAUUAGCAUGCGCAUUAUGAGCAUUAUAAGGCAGAGAUAUUUGUAGAAUAGUUAAAGCUGAUAAAAGCCACAUUCUUGAAUAUUUUUUCUGGCAUGAAGAAGCUAAAUGCCAAAAGGAGUGGGGGCAAUGAAAUUAAGUUUUGUUUGUUGAGAGUUGCUUUUCAAAGUCACAUUUCACAAGGGGUUUAAGUCAUACUAAUAAUAGGACCAGUAUAUGUCACUUGUCCAUUUCCUGGUGUAAAGUUAAAAGCUAAUUUCAUAUAUCUGAGUUUCAGUUUGUUUAACAGAAAUCUAUCCAUGUUGGUUUCACAUUAGGGUGUUGUUCUUGGCCAUUGAUGCCAAGCUGUGUAUCUGUAUUAGUACCUAUAGAGGAUUCCAUUAAUAAAUUUCCAGGAGCAAUAAAACAUGCACCAGUGGAUUAAUUAGAUGGGAGAUGGUGUCUGGCAAUCGUAUUCUGACAACAAACUUUAUGCGCUUUUUUAUAGCGGAAUUAUGAAAAUCUGGAAUGUGUGUUUAAAGCGCUGAUAGACAACAUGGUGUCCUGUUCACAUAAAAAAUCAUGGUGUCUUUCGGUAAUUGUUAGGAACCCGGUUCAUGAAGAGUUUUUUAAGUGAAAACCUGAAAUCUUGUGGCCUUUAGGAGUACCUGCAUCUCUCCUGCGUUAGAGUGUUUCUACGGAAUUAAUAUAUUUACUACUGUAUAAAUUUUGUUUGAGCUCUAUAAAAGAACAAUUUGACGAUCCACAACUAAAGAUCAACUUUAACUUGAGUUGGUUUGUUGAGCUCGAGGUUGACUCGGUUGACAACGAAUCGGCUGAAAACCAAAUGAUAGGUCCGUGAAUAUCUUGAGAUCGGAUCGAAUUGGGUUCAGCUUAAGAUAGUGAGUAAUAAGUGAUAAGUGAUAACUGAUAACUCAUACUCCCUCCGUCCCAGUGAAUUGUAUACAGUUUCCUUUUUGGGAAGUCCCGUAUACAUUCCAAAAGUAGUAAACUUUUAUAAUAUAAAAUAUCAUUACACCAACUACUUUCCUCCACUAUCUAUAUUCUAUAAUAAUAUAAAUACUAUUACACCCACUACUUUCCUCCACUAUCUCAAAUCUAUUAUUAAAUAUUAAUGGAUCCCACCAUUAUACCCACUUUUCAUCUAACUUUACUCAUUUCCUACACAAUUUAUUGGUCUCCGUGUCCCAGCCAUUUGUAUACAAAUGACUGGGACGGAGGGAGUAACUGAUAACUAUCAUUAUUACAUGAGUUUGUUGCAUGAUGGAGUAUUAUUUUUGUGAAAUAACUUAAGGCUUAAAGUGUGAGUUUUGUGCAGUGUUGUAAAAAGCGGGAAUCGGACUUAAUCGGUGAAGUUACGGAACAAGGAUUAAUCGGAGAUUAAUUGAACUAAUCGAGGAUUAAUCGGAUUGAUCAGUGAUUAAUCGGAGAUUUAAUCAGUUCGGCGAGCUACGGAACAAGGAUUAAUCGGUGAUUAAUCGUGAUUAAUCACCGACUUUUAGAACAGAGGUUUUGUGUGUAAAAUAUAAUCACUUGUAUCGCAAUCAUUUCACUAGAUAGGUUAGGUAGUCUCAAAUUCUCAGUGGGCUUUGUUUCCAUUUUUUAUUUUUUUCAAAUAAGGCUGAAAUUCAAACCGAGUUCGGGUUUGAAAAUUAAAUCCAGAUAUUCAAAAGAACAAAAUUUAAGAGGUUGCAACUUGAACUUAUUAUUUUAAAAACUAAACCUUUUUAUUUACUUUUAGUUAUAGUUAUCUUUGUUUGAUUUAAUUUGUUAUUAAUUAUGUUAAUAAUGUGGUGAAACAUUGUUUGAUUUAAUUUACUGAUUUAAUUUAUUUCUAGUUAUCUUAGUUAUGUAAUGGGCUAUAAAACUGCACAUUUUAUAAUAUAGAUGUAAAAUAUGAUAUCUGUAAAAAAAAUUAGUUAAAUUUAAUUAAGCGUUCAUUCCAACGUUCAGUUUGAUUUUCAUUCGGCAAUGAAAUGAAAAAUUAUAUAUUAUUUUUGUAUUUAAUUUCAGAUAUUAUAUAAUAUUAAAGGACUCAAAUAUAUUUAUUUUUAUAAUAAUAUAGUUUAUUCAUAUUUAUGAAUACAGUUUAUUAUUUAAAGAUUUUAUUAAUUUUUUAAAAUAACUUGACUUAUAAAUCAUAUCAAAAUUAUUUUUAAUUUGUAAAAACUAAAUUAAAAUCUCAAAAAUAUUUUACAUAACAAUUUUGUAAGUUAUUUUACAUAUUAAAAUAACUUGGCAUUACUGUUGCUGGCAGGCUUGCAGCAACAUCAUCUUUUUUCUGAAAAGCGGUUAAAAACUGUUUGGUAAAUCUGAAAACAGUUUUUUGGAACACUAUUUUUCAGAUGAAAAGCUGUUUUUAGAAAAAGCAGGUCCGUUGAUACGUUGAAAAAAAAACUUUUUUCCAACUUUUGCAUGAAGCUAUUAUAGAUUUCAGUAUCAAAAUUCACCAAAACAUUAUUUUUAUAUUAUAACUCAAAAUAAGUAAAUAUUACCUCAUAUCUUGAUACAACUUUUUAUUUCAGUUGCAACAAAUUCUAAUUAUUUCCCAAAAAGCACAUUCCCUCUAUUUUUCUUCGAAGAUUAUGGAAUUAUGCCAUAACAUUGAUAUAUAAACUAAAGGGAAAAUAGAUUUUUUUUGCCACCCAAUUUAUUAUUUGUUUAGAAACCUACCAUUGAACUAUAAUUUUUUUCUUUUUUGUCACUAAUGUUAGGUUCGGACUUUUUUUUGUCACUAACGUUAGGUUCGGAUUUGAUUAUUAACACUAUGUUAUUUUUUUAGUAUUAUUAAACUAUAGUGUUAGUAUGCAAUAUAAUGGCGAUCUGAUAUGUGUCUAUAUCUUUAUGUAGUAUCCUAGGUAGUUUACCUUGAAGGACGAGAGUUGGACACGCAUUUUGAGACUCCAAAAAAUUUCAAAAAUUAUUUUAUUUUAUUUUUUCUGAAUAAAAUUUAAUGUUGGUUUUUUUUCCUUAAAAAAACUUUGGAUUUUUUUUGUCACUAACGUUAUGUUUUGAUUUGAUUAUUAACAAUAUGUUAUUUUUUUUAGCAUUAUAAAAACAUAGUGGUAGUCUGCAAUAUUAUGGUGAUAUGAUAUGUGUCUAUAACAUUAUAUACAGUCAUCUAUAUGUCCCUUAGCUAGUUUACCUUAAGUAUGAGAGUUUAACAGGCAUUUUAAGAACCUAAAAAAUUUAGUUUUAUGAAUUAUUUUAAGACUCCACAAAUAUAUAGUAUCACUUGACUUUAUAGUUCUUUACCACUACUUGUCACGUAUUUUAAGGUUCCCACUUUUUAUAAAUAUAGUUCUAUAAGUUAAUUUUGAGAUUUCCUUUCUGAGUAAAAAAAUCCGUACUCUCGUCCUCUAAGAUAAACUACCUAUGACACAUAUGGAGUACUACAUAUAAAGAUAUAGACACAGAUCACUAUUAUAUUGCAGACUACCGAAAAAUAGAUUUCCGAAAAAUAUCGUUUGGAUGGUCAGAAAAUUUAAAUAAAGGUCUGAUUUUAAUUAAAUAUAAUAAAAUUUCCCAAAAUGCCCCUUCAAAAGUUAACGGUAACGGCAGAAGAUAACGGAAAGGGUGCAAAGUGUCUACGGGUUAAAAGUAAGGGGCUGCAUAGUGUUUAUUCCAAAACUAUUAGGUGCAAUGUGCAACAUGCUGAAAUUAAAGGGGUGCCAAAUGCAAUUAACUCUAAAAAGAAUAACAUAGUGUUAAUAAUCAAAUCCAAACCUAACGUUAGUGACAAAAAAAAAAUCCGAACCUAACAUUAGUGGCAAAAAAGAAAAAAAUUAUAGUUCAGUUGUAGGUUUCUAAACAAAUAAUAAGUUAGGUUGCAAAAAAAUCUAUUUUCUCUAAACUAAAACAUUAUUUACAAUCAAUAAAUUCACUAAUGGAUAACCUAAUAAGUAAGAGAAAAAUCUGUACCCAACGUGGUAUAUUAGAUCUUUAGUGCUUGCAGAAGAGAGGGAAAUAGAAAUUUUUAUUGUUUCCAUUGGUCACUCUGUUCACCAAAUUCAGCAAACAAUAUGCAUAUUCUUCAAAUCGUUAAAAAAAAGAGUUCAAAUUUGACAAAAACUUAUAUAUAAUAUAUUUUAAAAAUGUGCAUUAUAUCCUAAUAAUAAUAAUAAUACAAGCCAAACUACUAAUUACAUACACGAAAUAUGUAUUCAAUCCACGAAAAUGCAUAUAUUCCCAACUUUCAAACGGAUAGCUACGAAACAUGCUCUCAUAAUUAGAUGCAUAUCUCCAAGCGUACCUAUUUUCUUUUGAUGUCAUUUGAAAUUAAUAUAAAAAAAAUAAACUAAACUCUUGUUAGAAUUCAUCUAAUAACUUAUAUUUAUUACCUUAUUGAGAUUCUUUUUCAAAUGUUUUGACUUUCAAUUUUUCUUUUAAAUCAAUAUAUGACGGGAAAAUCAAUUUUUCAAAAUUUACACAAAGUUAAGUUUCUAGAAUAUUAAAUUCAAGAUAUCUAAUAUUUUUGCAACAUAGACAAACAAAAAUAAGAAAGUAGAAGCCCGUUUGUGAUUAAUAUAUAUGUUUGUAAAUAAACUCAUGACUGCUAAAUGAACUAUCAUCACACCCUAAGGGAUGCUAGUAUAUUUUGGAAGAUAAUCAACGUCAACCAGAUUUACACUUUUCAAAUUAGCAACAAUGCUCUCUAACUCCAGUUCAAUUACAUUUAGAAUGACACGCAUGUUUAAAAAAAUUAAGAAAAAAUAUAGUAUUAGUGUCAACAUGAUAAUAAUAUAUACCGUUGCACUUUUACCGUGGCCUCGGAUAACAAAAUAUCUUCAUGUAUUCUUCAACUGCUAUUGACGGAUUUAGAGUUAAUUUUCUAGAAUAAUAAAUUUAAGAUAUCUAAUUUUUUGUAACAUAGACAAAACAAAAUAAAAAAGUAGGAGUUGAGAUUGCCCAUUUGUGAUUAAUAUAUCUGUUUGUAAAUAAACUCAUGAUUGCUAAGUGAACUAUCAUCACACCCUCUUUUUCCGCCGUAAAAAAAAAAGCUUCAAGCAUCUGAAUCAGAUCUUCAUGGUUUGAAUUUUUAAGAUUAUCACGGCAAGAUAUUUGAUACUGUGAAGUUGAUGUAGCAAGGUCGCCCCAUUUUCUUCUAAAAUUUGUAAUAAUAGUGUUAAAAGAUACGUGAUUAACUCUUAAAUAAUUAGCUAGCAUGCAGCAUAACAAAAGUACACUGGACCGUAUAACAUAUUAUGAAGGUCGAAACUGUUACAAAAAAUACAACAAUGUUAUAUUGAUAAUGUAUGAAUUAUAUUUACAUGUAUUAAUAAUUGAAACAUAGAGAAUAUAUAUAGUGUUUGGAACUAAGAGACAUCUUUGUAAUUAUCUCUCAUAAUAAGAUCCAUACAUUUACAAAUUUAAAGAAUUUGAAUCUCUAUGUUGGCUCAAAAGUCAUUAUAAUCUCUGAAUUCGAGAGGGAUGCUAGUAUAUUUUGAAAGAUAAUCAAUGUCAACCAGAUUUACACUAUUCAAAUUAGCAACAAUGCUCUCCAACUCCAAUUCAAUUACAUUUAGAAUGACACACAUGUUUAAAAAAAUUAAGAAAAAAUAUAAUAUUAAUGUCAACAUGAUAAUAAUAUAUACCGUUGCACUCUUAGUGUGACCUCUGUCGGAUAUCUUCAACUGCUAUUGACGGAUUAACAAUGUUUUUUUUGACAAUUUAGAAAUGUUUAUAAUUUUCUAAACAUCAUCAUUAUGUGAAUCACACAAAAUGCUGCCCAUGUUCCGUUGAAAAAUAUACAUAUUAUGAAGGUCUAUACUGCUAAAAAAAAUACAACAAAUGUUAUACAGAUAAUGUAUGAAUUAUAUAUACAUAUAUUAACAAUUUAAUAAUUAAAACAUAGAGAACAUACGUAGCGUUUGAAACAAAGAGACGCUUUCUACAAAAUGAUUUCAUCUCACACAAUAAGAUUCACACAUUCCCAAAUUUAAAGAUUUUGAAUCUCUAUGUUGGCUCGAGAGUCAUUGUAAUGGUCUCAUCUCCCACAAUAACAUCCACACAUUCACAAAUUUAAAGAUUUUGAAUCUCUAUGUUGUCUCGAGAGUCAUUGUAAUCUUUGAAUUCGAGAAUAAUGCUACUAUAUUUUGUAAGAUAAUAACUCAAUCAGAUUUACAUUCUUCAAAUUAGUAAUAAUGCUCUCCAACACCAGUUCAAUUACAUUUACAAUGACAUGCAUGUUUAAAACAAUUAAGAAAGAUAUAAUUAAUAUCACUCACAAUGACAACAUGAUAAUAAUAUAUAUCGUUUCACUCUUCUUGUUUCUUUUGUCAAAUAACAAAAUAUCUUCAUGUAUUCUUCAACUGAUAUUGACGAAGAUCCAUUAACAAGGAAGAAAACAUUUUAUAAAAUAUUUUUUAGACAAUUUAGAAAUGUUUGUAAUUUUCUUAACAGCAUCAUUAUGUGAAUCACACAAAAUGCUGCCAAUGUUCCGUUUCUUUAAGUUUAUCACGAGAUAAAGGUCUUAAAAACAUAUCAUGUACAAAAAAAAAAGUAAUGCACAAUAAAUACGAAACAAUCAACUAUUGGUAUUUUGAAUAACAAAAAUUAUUAUACUAAAAAAGAGUCAUUAAACUUUUAUAAAUUUCCUUACAUGAAAAUUAAUUACUAAUUUCUAAAAACACAUGAAUAUUAAAGUUCGUCUAAUCCAAAUUUUUUUAAAACAAUUCACACAUCAUACUAGAGGAUAAAAUUAUAUGUAGCAAAUGAUAAAAUAUUAAGAGAAAUUUUGGUAAAAUUAGAAAAUAAAAAUUUACACGGGGUUAGAUUCAAGCGGGGAGAAUACAUUACUCUCACCUAGAUCUAUGUUAUAAUGGAAGAGCUCUUUUACUCUAUUUGUCAACCCCGUUUUCAAGGUACCUCAUAUUCUAUUUAUAAGCUUCAUCUAGGAUUGUUGUUGCUUCUUCAGCCCCGUAGUGGGCUUUGUUUGUCUUUGUUGGACUGUGGCCUGACUUCUGUGGGCUGUGGCCCAACACACCUAUAAUAUAUACUCGAGGAUAUCACAUGGCCUCAAAAAUUGAUAUAUUUAUAUAAUACUGACUCCACUUUGGGUAUAUCACCCUAUAAUUUUCCUUUUACAAUUAAAGUUACCCGCUUUGCUACUUGAAACUAAAAAAGCAUCUUCCUAUAUAUUCUCCCUCACAAGGCCAUCAAUUAUUCUAUUUUAACAAAAAGUUAAACUUUCAAUUUAUUUUAAAGAAUAAUUGAAAUAUGUUAUUAAAUACAUGUAUCAUUCAUAAAAAUCAAACUCUUAAUUUAUAUUAAGAAUCAUAAAAAUUCAUUAAUAUGUAAUAAUUGAGGUAAAUAACAAAGGUUAAAGGUCAAAUCUUGAAGAAUGUCAAGUCAAAGUCCCAGGCUUUUCUUAAGUUUGCAAGAAUAAUUGAUUCAUCGGGAAACAAGAACUAUGAUAAUUGAAGUGAUUAAGACCGUUUGGCUUAAUUAAAAUAAGUGAGUUAUUGUUUAAUGUAAAAAAGAGGAUUAUCUAUAUCUAUAUUAUUAUUCUUAAAGCAUGAACUUUUUUAAGGCUAUUCCGGUAAAUUCACAUGCUCUUGGAUCAACCUAUUAGCCAUCUGGAUCUGAUGUAGAGAAGCUAAAACCAGUUUCUUCCCUAUUCAAAUUAACACUCUGCUUUUAAAUUUCGGAUCUUCGUGUAACUCGACCCGGAUUAAGUUGAAUCUCAUAGUAUCUUCCAACCACAUUAGAAUUUGAAAAAAGACAUUGAAUUUAGUUCCUUCAAUCGUGACACUCAUUACGCCUCUAUUUCAAAACAAAUCAGACUUUGAAAUUUGCAUUAAUCACAAAUCUGAAAAUAACGCAUCUGAUCUCGAUAUUAGUUUAAAUAGUCUGAUUUUCGAAUUUGAGGAGUGGUGUCUGCUGUUCUUCAUGCCAUCGAUGUAAGUUAUGGUUUUUCCUUGAAGAUGAGAUAUAAACAAUUGCAAUAUGAAUGUAAUGAUGUGNAUAAACAAUUGCAAUAUGAAUGUAAUGAUGUGUUUUUUUUUUUUUUUGAAGAUAUCUUUAAAGUUUUUCUAUUUUUUGAAUCUUAUGAUUUGUACUGGUUUAGAUUGUACAUCAUAGCAUCUUUCAGAUUUCUGUCUAUACGGUGUUAUUUCAACCUUGUAGAUCGAAAAGGAGGAGUGAUCUCUCAUGUUCUUUGUAACAUUGUUGUUGGUUGUGAGUUUUGGAUAUAAAUUAUACAUAUCAUAUAACCAAUGCUUCUGCUUUUAAUUUAAUGAGAACAUAAUUGUUUUUCCUGAAAAUGAGAACAUAAUUGUUAAUUAGUCUAGCAAAAUUAUAGUCCAUGAAUCAAACUAUUGAAUACUGCAUCCAUUCUCGUAUCUCGCAUUUCCCAUAUAAAUAUAGCACGAAUCUGACGGACAAUAAUCCUCUAUUGGCCUGUUCAUAUAAAAAAGUAUAAAUAUUUAAUUAUUUAUAAACUAAAAUCUAGAAUUUCAAUAAAAAAAUUUAUAUUUUAGUUCUUACUCCCUCUGUCCCGGUCAAUUGUAUAUGUUUCUUUUUCAUUGCUCGACACGCUUUUUAAGGCUCUUAUAAAACAUAGCUCUACAACUUAUUUUUAAGAUUUUCUUUUUUUUAUAAAAAUAUAACAUUUAUAUUUUUAUACAAAAAAAGAAAAUCUUAAAAGUAAUUUACAUAACUAUAUUAUAUUAAAGUAUUAAAGUUCGUGCCGCGCCCCCGUCCCCGAUGUAUACUAUUGACCGGGACGGAGGGAGUAUCCAAUUAUGAAUACAUCCUCGUCAAUAUCACGUGACGGCCCACAGAUCAAUUAAACAAACACUUAUCCAUCUCUAAUUCUCUAUCUAUAAAUACACGUACACACACAUCUACACUCUCAUUCACUACCAAUAAUACACACAGUUGCAAAUAAACAUGAAGAGCACAGGAAAGAGCAGCUCAAAUCCCAAGGCAACCGGAAAAUCCGGUCACGAAGCCCGAAAAGAUCGCCAGUCCGGCACCGGAGUCACCGGAUCACCGAAGAAAGGCGGUCACGGCGGCAAGUUCACCUGGUCCGGCGAUAACGCAAACCUCGGGAACGAUGAGUUCAUCGCCGCCGUUGAUCGUAAUGACCCUAACUUUGAAGAUCCCGAUGUUGCUGUAGCGGAGAAUUAAUAGAUUAUUAUUCGAUAGAUGUAUGUAUGUAUAUGUUUGUUUUUCUGGUAUUAAGUUGUAUCGAUAUAUGGAUUUAUCUCUGUAUGAUGAAGUAUCGAUCAUUAUAAAAUUGUCGCGAUUUAAUUUUUCUCGUAACAUCGAUCCGGUUCGGAGUCCGAAAAUAUGUUUAUAAUAAUAUAAUGAAAGAUUGUGAUAAUAUGCAUAUCAGAAUACAAUGCA
rnacentral:lncRNA from 1 species